CUCCGCUGCAACUGUUGUUGUAGCCACGCUUAUAUCCAGAAUUUGACGACUGCUUCAGCGCUUUAAGCUGCCUGCAGUCCGUUACCACGUGCCCAGGCUUGUUGCAGUAGUAGCAGAUGAGUUCCUGUUGAAGGGCGGUCCUAUCCCAACGUAGAUAAUUGGUGGUUAGGCGAUGAUUCCACCGUGAUAGGCGAUGCCUCGGACGUGCAUCGACCUUGCCUCGGCCGUGCCUAGACCUUGCCUCGGCCAUGCCUAGACUUGCCUCGGCCGUACCUCGACCUUGCCUCGGGUCUCUCGGCCGCGUAUCUCGGACGUCACCUCAGGUCCAGGGAUGGUGGACAUCUGUACGAUACUUCCAUUGGUACUGGUAUAUAAGGCACGAGUUGUGCUAGUCUUUGUAUCUCAUCUUUGUAUGGAUCGGUAUUCCUCAGUAGGAAUCUCCUAAAGUCUUCCAGCCGUUUACCACUCACCUUCCGAUUAUAAUACUUAUAUCGCGACCAGUCUCCUUGCCUCCUUCAUAUUCUUAACAGGUUAUGAGCCCCGGCUCACGCUAAGCAGCAACUACCUCUAAUACUCGUAUUCCACAAUGGGGAAGGACAAGCUUGACGAGCCGCUGGACUUGAACAACUACGCCACCUGGCAAAUUCGGUUCAGCGCGCUGUGUAUGGAGCUUGGGCUUGAGCAGUCCUUGCUCGCCGAGCCGGGAAACGAGGAGCAGAUUCGACAAUCUCGUAAGGUUAUCAACCUGCUCAUCAAGAAUGUUAAAGAUCACCAUUUGCCGAUGGUUACGGGUGCUGCAAACGCGAAGAGGGCAUGGGACGCUCUGGCCACGAUGUUUGUUGCUAACAAUAACGCACGCAAGGUAACUCUCCGUCAAGAGUUCAGCCGUUUCAAGAUGGUCGACGGCGAGCCGCUACCGAAGUACGGCACGUGCGCGGCAAUUACAGUCAGACUUGUUGGGAGUGGGGCACGUUAUCAGCGACUCGGAGCUGGCAUACACAGUGCUGGUUGGUCUACCCAGCCGCUUCAACGUGGUAACGACGUCCCUGCUGGUGCGUGACGGCGAUUUGGACAUGGCGAGCGUCACCUCUAAGCUUUUGGCUAUCGAGGUGGCAAGCGGUGGGUCUAGUAAGCCUACCGAGUCGGCAGCUAUUGCUUCUGUCGGCGGUCUCACGUUUGGCGCCUCUGGUUCUGGUCUUAGGAGUCACGGCGCGGCCAGCAGCAGUUCUGGCGGUUCCCCCAAACAUUUGUUUUGUCACUAUUGCAAAAAGCCCGGGCACGAUAUUAAGGACUGCAGGAAGUUGAAGGCACUAAAGCAGUUGUCCAUUUCCGGCAGUGGACAUGGUAAGGGUGGUGGUGGCAGCGGAGCUAGCGGCAGCAAGCCUGGGCCCGGUGGGUCUGGAAGGGGAUCAGGAAUCCCACGGCAGGUAGCGUUCACAGCUUACAGCGGUGAGCGUCCGCAGGGGUGGUUCCUGGACUCAGCCGCCACUCACCACAUAACGUAUGACCGCUCAGAACUUCUCAACGUGCGGUUGUUGGAGCCGUGGGAGCGCUUCAACAUCAUGGGCAUUAAGGGACAGUCUCUUCGGCCGACUGAAGUUGGCACGCUUAUGAUUCGGUCUAAUGUCAACGAUAAACAGGCCAUCACCUUUAAGAAGGUCUACGUCGAUGAGGAGGCCACCGCCAAAAUCAUAUCGGUCCGCAUCAUUGAUGAUCGUGGAGGCAGUGUGGUCUUCGGCGGUGGACAGGUGAAAGUAUACAUACAGAACCAGUUGGUGCUGACUGGAAAGCGGGAUGGGGACUUGUAUCCCGUCUGCUACAGCAGUGGAGGUACGGGCGCUCUGAAGUGGACGCAGCGUGAAGACAACAGGAUGCCUUCUGGUGGUGGUGCAGUGUGUACUGCCGUGAGUAUCGGAGCUGAACGUGCAGCACUUUGGCACCGACGGUAUGGCCACUUGGGUUACAGCAACCUUGAGGCGUUGCUGCGUCACAAUAUGGUAACUGGGUUGGAUGUUGACCGACACAGCAUACAAUCAGCCAGUGCGUGUGUGUGUGAGACUUGCGUCCUUGCAAAGCAUACACGUGGUCCUUUUCCGUUAACUGGGCAUAAGGCAGCGCAGCCUCUCGCGCUCAUUCACAUGGAUGUGUGUGGGCCUAUGCCUGAACCUUCACCAAAUGGUUCGCGUUACGUGACCACCCUUCUUGAUGACCACACCGGUCUGUCAGCUGUUGCGUUUACGGCGACCAAGGAGGAGAUAUAUCAGAAGGUGGUGGUGAUGAUAGCGGACCUGGAACGGGCAUCUGGUCGGCAGGUAAAGGAGGUGCGCACGGAUCGUGGCGGGGAGUUUGUGAAUACUCGCACGAAAAACUACUUUGCGUCAAGGGGUAUAAUGCACGGAACUACGGCGGGCUACACUCCUGAGCAGAACGGUGCAGCAGAACGCCUGAACCGCACUCUUCUAGACAAGGCCAGGUCAUUGGCCAGCCGACACUCAUAUACCAGUGAAUGGUAACCACAGUAAUAGGACCCAACGGGGUCCGGCGCUUUGCUGGUCUUAACAGGUUACGAGCCCCGAAUGGCGCAUUGCGCUGCCGAAAGGUCGCCGGAUCGAUACCCACUGGCUGUUGCCCAGAGAAUGGGAGACCGGGAUGAGGCACGGGAAGGCCCGGAGCGAGAGAGUGUCGCUCACGGGGGUGUGUUGGAAAUGACCGACACUCAUAUACCAGUGAAUGGUAACCACAGUAAUAGGACCCAACGGGGUCCGGCGCUUUGCUGGUCUUAACAUGUACUGUACGAGGACGGCGUCGUCGCCGUUGUCUCGAGUGUCCGCUUUGAUGAGUCUAAUGUCGGCCGGCGGCGUAGUGCCGGGGACUCCGAUUAUGGGUCCGAUGCCGAUGAGGAGGAGGAUGUUCGCACUAACUUGCCUGGUGAGGGGUCGCUGCCUAGGGCUGGCGAAGGAACAUCAGGCAAUACCGUCGGCGAGGGAUCGCCGCCUUUGGGUGGCGAGGGGGCGCCGGCUGGGGCUGGACCUUCCAGCAGUGCGAACGUGCAAGAUAACACUCCGCCUGAUGUGGAAAUGGCAGGGACCCGGUACCCAGUUAGAGAGUGUAAACGCCCUGGCGAGUGGUGGCGAAACGAGCCUGGUCGCACUGUUACUGGUCGCAUUAAUGCUGCUUUUUCUGCUGUCAUUCCUGAACCGAAUUCGUUUGCGGAAGCAAUUGCGAGUCCACAUGCAGACGAUUGGCGGCGUGCGAUGGACGAGGAGAUCGCCGCCCAGAUGGCUAACAGUACUUGGGAGCUGAAAACGCCACCUCCAGGUACUCAUUUACUGCCGUGUCGUUGGGUGUAUAAGGUUAAGUACAACGAUGACGGCAGCGUGGAGCGUUUUAAGGCGCGAUUGGUUGCAAAGGGUUUCGAGCAACGCGAGGGGAUUGAUUAUGGGGAGUUGUUUGCACCUACCUCACGUGGUUCGUCAUUACGUGCUUUAUUAGCAGUUGCCGCAGCGCGGAACAUGACGGUACACCAGCUUGAUGUGUCUACUGCAUUUUUGAACGGCGAGUUGAAGGAGGAGUUGUGGAUGCAGCAACCACCUGGGUAUGAAUCCAGUGACCGGUCGCUUGCGUGGAAGCUGGAGAGGUCUAUUUACGGUUUGAAGCAGGCACCCCGUUGCUGGUAUGAAAAGCUAUCGGCAGAGUUCGCCAAGCUGGGUCUUUAUCCUUCGAAGUCUGAUCCGGCGAUGUUCGUUAAGACGGACGAGCGUGGGGUCGUUAUUGCUUUGGUGCAUGUAGAUGAUACCAUUGUUGCAUCAGAAGACCCAGACAUGGUCCGGGCAAUUAAAGCCGCAAUUGCGAAGGUCUUCAAGGUGCGUGACCUUGGAGAAGCGAAGGUGUUUGGGGGCAUGGAAAUUUCGGAGGGAAAAAUCGGGUGAGAUAGUGUUGUCGCAGCAUAGGUAUAUUGAGCAGCUGUUGGAGCGUCAUAGGAUGGUUGAUGCCAAGCCGAGGUCUACCCCUUUGCCUCCGGGCUUUAGGUACACUCCUAAGGGGGACGGAGAGGAGCUGCUGGGCAAUCCCACGGAGUAUAGGGCUUUGGUGGGAGAAUUGAACUAUCUGGCGACGAACACGCGGCCUGACAUUUCGUAUGCCUUGAGCGUUUUGUCCCGGCAUAUGGCCACACCUACGAAGACUGCCAUGAACUUGGCCACUGGCGUUCUGCGUUACCUGGCGGGUACUCGCGAACUAGGAUUGCGUUUUGGGGGUGUUGGCGGUGUUGCAAUGUCCGGGUACAGUGAUUCGGACUGGGCAGGAGACCCAGUUACGAGGCGUUCUACGUCCGGUUACGUAUUCACUCUUAAUGGGGCUGCGAUUAGUUGGAGCAGCCAACUUCAACGUACUGUGGCGGCUUCGUCGGUGGAGGCCGAGUACCAAGCUACAGCGGCGGCUGUUCGUGAAGCUUUGUGGCUUCGCAAGCUGAUGGUCGAUUUGGGCUUGCCUGAGAGCGCGGUGAAAAUCCAGACAGACUCCCAGGGGGCGCUUAGCUUGGGAAACAACCCGAUUACGUCUGCUCGGUCGAAACACAUCGACGUGCAGCACCACAUAGUGCGUGAGAGGGUGAAUAGCGGGGAGGUGCAGUUGGAGUACUGCCCUACAGAGUGGAUGGUAGCGGAUGCGCUCACGAAGGCACUGGGAGAAGUGAAGUUCAAACGGUGCAGAGAAGCUAUGGGCCUUGUGUGAAGUGCCCAUUGGCGUAGCAAAUGUGCUACUGUGAGUUGGGAUAUGUCCCGAGGGGGCGUGUUGAAGGGCGGUCCUAUCCCAACGUAGAUAAUUGGUAGUUAGGCGAUGAUUCCACCAUGAUAGGCGAUGCCUCGGACGUGCAUCGACCUUGCCUCGGCCGUGCCUAGACCUUGCCUCGGCCAUGCCUAGACUUGCCUCGGCCGUACCUCGACCUUGCCUCGGGUCUCUCGGCCGCGUAUCUCGGACGUGACCUCAGGUCCAGGGAUGGUGGACAUCUGUACGAUACUUCCAUUGGUACUGGUAUAUAAGGCACGAGUUGUGCUAGUCUUUGUAUCUCAUCUUUGUAUGGAUCGGUAUUCCUCAGUAGGAAUCUCCUAAAGUCUUCCAGCCGUUUACCACUCACCUACCGAUUGUAAUACUUAUAUCGCGACCAGUCUCCUUGCCU
rnacentral:lncRNA from 1 species